UCAAACUUGGUCAUUUAGAGGAAGUAAAAGUCGUAACAAGGUCUCCGUUGGUGAACCAGCGGAGGGAUCAUUACAGAGUUCUCGCAACUCCCACACCCCUCGGAUACCAUACCGUACGUUGCCUCGGCGGGGUCGCUCCCGCCGGCGGCCCGGCAAGCUCUGUUUCUCCCAGUCGAGUUGAGUUCUGAACUUCGUAACAGAAUACGUUAAAAACUUUCAACAACGGAUCUCUUGGUUCUGGCAUCGAUGAAGAACGCAGC
rnacentral:misc_RNA from 1 species